AUACGUGGGUGACAAGCGUUAUCCGGAUUUACUGGGCGUAAAGGGCGUGUAGGCGGUCUUGCAAGUCAGAAGUGAAAUUCCUGAGCUCAACUCGGGCGCUGCUUCUGAAACUGCAGGACUUGAGUGCUGGAGGGGAUAGCGGAAUUCCUAGUGGAGCGGUAAAAUGCGCAGAUAUUAGGAAGAACACCGGUGGCGAAGGCGGCUAUCUGGACAGUAACGGACGCUGAGGCGCGAAAGCGUGGGGAGCAAACAGGAUUAGAUACCCGGGUACUCCACGCCGUAAACGAUGAAUACUAGGUGUAGGGGGUAUCGACUCCCUCUGUGCCGCAGUUAACACAAUAAGUAUUCCGCCUGGGGAGUACGGCCGCAAGGUUGAAACUCAAAUGAAUUGACGGGG
rnacentral:rRNA from 1 species